AUAAACCAGACGUAAGAGUUCUGUGCGGUCCAUUCUAGCAGUCCAUUCGAGUCAUGUCCGAAAACUGGGUGGUGAUGGACCAGACGCAAGAGUUUUCUACUGGCUGAAGGGAGACGAUUAGUUCCCCCCAUCCUCCAGUUUAACCAACAGCUCAACAGACGAGACGCUCUCCUCGCGUCCAUUCAGCAGAAGACCAUGAAGAAUCCAUCUCCUCUUACACGCAUCCUCAUCCCUCUCCUCCUCCUCCUCCUUCUCUUCUUGCUCUCUUCCUCUGCAUCACAAGCAGCACCGAGCUCUCUUUCAAGAGGAUCUUCUCUCUCCGUAGGGGAUGACUCGGAUGUCCUCCUCGUCUCCCCGAGCAAGUCUUUCUCAUGCGGCUUCUACAACGUCGGUUCUAAUGCCUAUGCCUUCUCGAUCUGGUUCUCCGACUUCGCCAAC
rnacentral:lncRNA from 1 species